rnacentral:rRNA from 1 species
AAAACUGGGGGACGACCUGUGGGGAGGAGUGAAAGUCCAGCCAAACCUGGAGAUAGCUCGUUCUCUCCGAAAUAGCUUUAGGGCUAGCCUCGGACCACUACAUCGUGGGGGUAGAGCGACGGAAUUUGGAUGGGGGGCUUCCCGCCUACCCACUGAAACCCAACUCCGAAUACCACGAUGAUUACUCCGGGAGACAGAACGUGUGGGAUAAGCUUCACGUUCAAGAGGGAAACAACCCAGACCGCCGAUUAAGGCCCCCAAGACGAUACUAAGUGGCAAAGGAAGUGGGAUCGCUAAGACAGCCGGGAUGUUGGCUUAGAAGCAGCCACCAUUUAAAGAGUGCGUAACAGCUCACUGGUCGAGGAGUUCGGCGCCGAUAAUGAUCGGGGAUAAGUCCUGAACCGAAUCUGCGGACGUCAUUGACGUGGUAGGGGAGCGUUGCUGUCGGCUGUGAAGCCUGUCCGAAAGGGCCAGUGGAGCGGCAGCAAGUGAAUAUGUCGGCUUGAGUAACGAUAAACGGAGUGAGAAUCUCCGUCGCCGAAAGUCUAAGGUUUCCUGGGGAAGGUCAAUCCGCCCAGGGUUAGUCGGGACCUAAGGCGAGGCCGAAAGGCGUAGUCGAUGGACAGCAGGUUAAUAUUCCUGCACCCGGUAUGAAGGUUGAACUGCAGAGGACGCCGUGCAAUGGGCGGUCGGGGUGCUAGACGUCCCCGUGCCGCAAGGCCGACAGCAUUGUUCUGGAAGCCGCCUUGACACAUGGCCACGAAAAGCCCUGCAGGGACGACAUACUUGGCCCGUACCGUAAUCCGACACAGGUGAGCGAGGUGAGUAUCCAAAGGCGUUCGGGAGAACUCUCGUGAAGGAACUCGGCAAAUUGACCCCGUAACUUCGGGAUAAGGGGUGCUCACCGCAAGGUGAGCCGCAGAGAAUCGGCUCUAGCGACUGUUUAUCAAAAACACAGGACGCUGCGAAUUCGCAAGAAGAUGUAUAGCGUCUGACGCCUGCUCGGUGUCGGUAGGUUAAGGAAGCCGGUCAGCGAAAGCAAAGCUGGCGACCGAAGCCCCGAUAAACGGCGGCCGUAACUAUGAACAUGGCAGGACCAGCAGCCCUCAAAAGCUGCCGCCAACGUAGUUCCGUGAACAAAUUCGGCUAUAUGCUGGAAACUCCGGUGUAUCCGGUGGUACUCGAUCACAUCACAAUGAUCAGUGAAAAUCCAUCCGGUGCGGACAAUCAGCAGGAAAGGCCGAAGCUAAGAUGAUCGAUCUAAGCCAAAUUCCUGAUUCACUUGGGUAUUACUUUACUGGUUUCGUCGAUGGUGAAGGCAGUUUCAAUAUCAGCUUUCGUCGUCGUCGUGACUACAAAAUGCCUUGGAAAGUGUCGCUUUGUUUGAAUGUCUCCCAGAAAGAUCAAAUCAUUCUGGAAACCUUUCAAAAUCUAAUCAAAUGCGGCUCAAUCCGAUAUAAAGGCAACGGCGUCUGGAUGUUCGAGACGAAUCACCUCGAAUCCAUACGACAAAACAUUAUUCCCUUCUUUCAGCGUUUUCCAUUCCUUUCAGGUAAGAAAAAACGCGAUUUUAAGAUCUUUUGCCAAAUGGCAGAUCUUAUGUCAGACGGUGCUCAUCUGCAUCGGGAAGGAAUCGUCAAACUCCUAGAGUUAAGACGGGUUAUGAAUGAUGGUGGUAAACGUAAAUACUCAGAAAAUCAGAUUCUGGCAAUCAUCUAACUUCGGAAUCCUCAGAGACUAUACGCCGAACCCGAUCAUAUCGGGAUGAUAUAGUCCGACCCUUAUGGCGACAUAAGGAGCCAGGCAGAAAUGAUCUGGCACGCUCUGAAAAGC